UUGUUGCAUCUUGUCUACAGAUGCUUCCCCUGUGCAAAAAUCCCCUCAACCUGUACUGUCUUCUUGAUACAAUCUCAGCUCUCUCUGAUUUCCAUAUUAACCCCUCUUCUUCUAGUACAUGACUCUUCAAAGAAAUUGCCUAAGGAAAGGAAAAGAGACAUCAAAAUACGAUGAUCAGCAAGUUAAUCACAAUAUUAGGUACCAUCACCUUUUCCUUCACGUCAUUGCUGUCAAUGACGUGUUAGCCAUUACCAUAUUGAUCUGCAAGUUGUUGAGAUCUAAUUGUGCCAAUUCAGAAAGCCUAGGCUAAAGAGUAUGUUGUCAUAAGAUAACAUAAAUAUUUUAUUUCUACCUUUUAUACUUUCAGGUUGCAUAAUAGCACAGUCUCUGCCCAGUCUCUGCUCCUUAUGGCCUGUAACUUUGUUGUGCUGCUACCAAGCAAGAACAUUCAUAUGCAAGUCAUACUGCAGUCACACAAUAGCAAAGCAGCUUUCAAAAUUACAUAAUUUCUGUCAGUUUAUACUAUAAAAUUUUCCAGUUGGAUUUCAAUUCAUCAUUCCUUGUGAACCCUAACCUCUUGCAAAGUCUGGAAUAGCAUUUCAGCUUGCUUUGCUCCAUAUCUUUUCACUUCACUGCCACCAGGUCCUAUAUCAAUUGAGAUACAUUGAUGCUGUCACAUUUCCAGUCAUUCCUACUCAAUAUAGUCUUUUAUGUUUAUUUUUCAAACAGCAUGGAGUGAUUUGGGAACCUAUUUGAUAAGCUGGCACAUAACCGACUGGUUUUAAAAGUCAGAGGACUUCAGCUGGCUCUGUUAUUUUAGGCUAAAUUUACAGGCAAACCCUAGAAACUAGCUGCUGAACAAGCUGCCUCACUGAUCCCUUCACUUUUCUCUAGUGUGUACUUCUCAAGACGUGAAAGAGCCAUUGAAGCCACCUCCACUGCGGUGUGAUAAUGCAAUCACAGUAUUAUCAUAGCAUAUUUACAGUGCUUUUGGAGUGCAUGCAGUCAAUUGCCAUGGUUUAGCUGAGGCACAGCUCCCCUCUCAGCCAAGGUGACACAGACACCUGUGACUGUGUUGAAGUUAGAAACAAAUUCUGCUGAAAUUCUUGUAAAUCAGUAGUCUUCUUAGAAAGACACAGCAGAAGCUACCACACAGUGAGAUCUGAAGUACUCAGCCUAAUCACUAGAGAACACUUUUUGUUUAGCUUAAAAUAAAUAUUCCAUAGUCAAAGCAAAAGACCUGUUUACAAUGAAUGACCCCCAUCGACAGCAACGAAAAGAGGCCUUUACAUGGCAAUAUUGACACAAUACUACUGUUCUUCCAUGUAUAUCAUCAAAAGACUGGUCUCUCAGCAGAAGAAGCAGCUCCAGAAAUCCUAGGUUUAUCUUUGGAGAGACAGAGAGACAGAGAGAGACACACAGAAAGAGUUCAUGAGACAAGAUUGCUAACAACUUUAUUCUUUUGUUUUGCGCUGCUUUAGUUUCUGACAUUCCUAGAGACUAACCAGCUGACAGCAUAGUCCUAACUUUAGAGCAAAAUCAGUUAUUUCUUCCUUCCAAGUGUAUUUUAUGUCUAAGUCAUAUUGAGAAUUAUAUUGUUUAAAUAUCUUCACAACUGUUAUAAACUCACAUAAAUAUUUAGUUUAAACAAGCAUCGUCAAAGUGUCUCCUUACAAUCAGUAACAGACCCUUCCCAGACAAAUACAGCUGCAUGUUUUGAAAUCCAGCAUGAUGAACUGUGGAAAAAAAUAAAUAAACAAAAAUUGUGAACUGCACAUUCUUACAAAACUACAUUUUUAAGGCAGUAUCUUUGUCCUCUGAAACAUGAGCUGUUUAUACUACAAUGACUGGUAAAAUAUGCAGUCCUUGGUGGAUGGCUGAAUGUUGAAUGAUGAUCAUUACACAAAGAGAUUUUAAUUCUCAGCCUGUUGAGAGGGUGAAGGAUGGCAGAAGUGCUUCAGCAUGCAGGUAGCAUCUCACUGAGCAACACCUGAGGCAACACUGAAACAGUUCUAUCAAUCACCAAUGAAUUUUAGAAAGUUACAUGAUCAUACCUGCACUGUUUAAAGUUCUCUUGCGUGAUCUGGAACAAGAAAACAUCACAAGUAUCAUCAUAGUAUAACAAAUACCAAAAUAAAUGUGAAUACUAAAAGUCAUGAAUUUUGUAUGUCUAUGCCAGUGGCUGCUGACUAGAUCAAUUUAUUUCUGUGGGGUAUAUUUUAUUUACUGCCAUAGAUGAUCACCUUUAGAUUUAUCACACAGUCCUUCAUGAGAUCUAAAACUUCUGCAUUUGCUGCAAUUUUCUUGAUAUGUAUUCCUAUCUGCAAGCAACAAGGGGUAGUGCAAAUUUAUUAUUUUCAUGCAGAAACAAGCAGAACAGGAACUAAAGAGUGGUCAGAAGUGAUACUCAAACUGUGCACAUAUUGCACUCGUGACCAAUCAUGGAGCACUUUGUGUGCAGGAGGAGAUCUGCUGCUUCCUCACCUUGUGCUUUCCAGAAGCAUUGGUCCCCAACAGCAGAGCCAUAUGCAUCUACACAUUAUAUCUCAGUGUUAAGCCAGUUCUCCAGCUAUUUUGUGCCCAAAGAAAGAGGGGUGGCCAGUGACACCGUAGCUACAUAAAAGCUCAGAGUAAAUAACUGCCUUUAUUUUCUUUGUCUAUCAAGAUGCUACUAGGCUCCCUACCAGAGAAUUCAGUGGAUCAUGGCUAGAGUACUGAACAAACCAUCUGAAACUAGCAAAUGGAAACUGUAAAUAUCUACAGUCAUGGCAACUGCAGUCAGUUCUUUUAACAAAAAACAAGUUCCAUCCCUUUCACAGCUACAGACUAUGUUUACAAAGAAAGUAAGCAUUGACUAACUUCAUUAAAAGAAUGGAAACAGAGUGAACGAACACUACACAAUUCCAUGAGCUCUCCAGAGAGCAUCCCACAGAACGUUCUGCAGAAGGCUGACUGGUGGCCCACAGAGCACAGUCAAGGAGCUGCUGAAGGAGAGGUGUCAUUGCAAUAAGCCUCGUUUGCUUGCAACUCUUUCUUUUUUCUUUUUAAGGGAAAUAAAAAAAAAAAAGGAAAACCUAUUUGUCCAAGAGUUAUUUUAACUACUGCAAUGAUCCGUAAUCAAGCAACAAAGCAUCUACAGAUCUAAAGAUGAGCAACACAGAGAAAUCUGAUGUUUUAUGAGACUUUGCUUUGCUUUCACAUAUACAACAUUUAGUAAGCACGUCCCCCUUAAUAUACUGUUCCUUCAAUACAAGACUUUAAUUUAUCUGCAAUCUCAGAUAAUUGUUUAUGAUUGCAAGCAUUUUUAGUCAUGUAUAUAAAGCCCCAGUGCAGGAUCAAGUUGUGAAAAUUUAAGACAUUUCACAAACCAAAUCUCGGUGAAGGAAAUGCACAGAUCACAGUGGACAUUGAAUCGGAGACACAGUGAAUGUCCUGGUGCACAACAAGGACACUGAACUCCAUUAAAGAAUUAACUAUACAGGGCAUUAUAUAUACAUAAGUAUGGCUGGUGACCAGUCACUAGCAGUGUUCUUCAGGGAUCAGUUCUAGGACCAGUUCUGUUCAACAUUUUUAACAAUGAUCUGGAUGCAGGAGUCGAAUGCAAGUUCAUUGAUGACACUAAAAUGGGAGGUGUUGUUGACUCCCUGGAGGGUCAAGAGGCCUGAAGAGGUGUCAAGAUAGAUUGGAGCAUUGGACAAUCAGAAACGGCAUGAAAUUCAACAAAAGAAAAUGCCUGGUUCUGCACCUGGGAUGGAGUGAAGCCAGACACAGGUACAGACUGGGAAAUGAGUGGCUGGAGAGCAGCUCUGAAGAAAAGGGGGUGCUGGUUGGCAUUGGGCUCAGCAUGAGUCAGUGGUGUGCUCUGGCAGCCAAGAGGGCAAAACACAUUUCGGGGUGCAUUAAACACAGUGUAUCCAGACCAUCAAAAGAGGUGAUUCUCCUGCUUUGGCCUCACUUUGACUAUUGUGUAAAGGUCUUGGCUACACAAUAAUAAAGGACAUUAAGGUACUUGAAAGCAUCCAGAGCAGGGCAACAAAACUGAUAAAAGGGCUGAAAGACAUGUCCUAUGAAGAGAGGCUGAGGACACCUGGGUCACUUGGUCUGGAGAAAAGGAGGCCCGAGGCAACCUCAUUGCUCCCUACAGCUUCCUGAGGAGGGGAAGCACAGAGGGAGGUGCCAGUCUUCUCCCAAGGAACCGGUGGCAAGAUGCAUGGGAACAGCACAAAGGUGAACCCAGGGAGGUUCAUACUGGGCAUGAGGAAAACCUUUACUGUGAGGGUGGUCAAACACUGGAACAGGUUUCCUAGAGGGGUGGUUGAUGCCCCAAGCCUGCCAGUGUUCAAGAGGCAUUUGGACAAUGCCCUCAGUAAUAUGUUUUAACUUUUGGGUAGCCUUGAAGUGAUCAGGCAGUCAGAUUCAAUGGUCUUUAUAGGUCCCUUAGAACUGACAUAUUCAAUUCAAUUCAGUUCAAUUCAAAUCAAUUCAAUUCAAUUUGAUUUGAUUCUGUAUAUAUGUGUGACUUUAAGACUGCCAAAACAUAGCAUAAUUGUUAUAACUUUAUCAUAAUUAUUUUUAGCAACAUAAGUUGCUAAAUAUGGCAUGAAAUUAAAUUAGUCUGGCUAUUCAGGCAAAUGUAAUGAAACCAUCUACCUUUGGGAAGAACUAAUUUCUAAAUUAAAAAAGAGAGGGAGAGAGAACAAGACAAAUGUUUAAAAUCAACAACACUGAAAUAUUUGCUUUUAACCACAGAAUGAUUUACCUUCUUUCACUCAAAGUUGUUUUCCCGGAUGUGUACUUAACCACAUUUAUGUCAUAUUUAUUUUAAUAGAAGAAAGAUUAAUUUUUUAGACAUUAGUACAAGUGUAAACAGUUUAGACAUAAAAGACUUUCCCAAGACUUCUGAUUAAAAAAGACAGAAGCUUACAACUACAGGACCUAUAUACAUUAUAUACGCAAAAAUGCUCUGAGUGAUGUCCCUAAAGUAGGGAUUGCAAUGUCUAAACUGAAUAAGCUUUUAAUAUAUCAAGUACAUAAAUGUGUGUUGAAUCAAUGAGCAUAUGAGAUCCAACAAGAUCUGAAAGCUGAUGUAAGAAACAUUCAGUUUUUUUAAAAAAAGAUAUUCUUAAUAGUCAAAGAAAUUAUCAAUAAAACAAAAUAAUUAUGCAUUUGA